CUCGGAAUGUUUGGAGUUUCUGUUCACACAUGCUUUCUUCCCUCCCUCCCUUCGAAUCCAGCCAGCAAUGAAAUCCUUCAAACCACUUACAGUCAGGAAAGCUCAAGACAUUCCACAAGUUCCUGGUUUUGACACAGUUAAAAAUAACAGAAAAUAAAAAGGGAUCUCACAGAAUUUAUAGUUCUAGAGCUGUGAAAUAGAAUCAAGAAAUACUGAAUAAUGAUGAUAUUUAGCCCUUACACAGAGUUUUUCAUGUUCAAAGGACAAAAUAAAUAAGAACUAAUUUUCACUGCAGUGCUCUGAAGAGGUACAUAAAUAUUAUCUUCAUUUUAUGACUACAGGACCUGAGACCAGCCCAUGGAGGCCAAAAGGAACCUUAGAAGAUGGCCUCCAUGGGCUUUGUGGGUGUAGUUGGUCUAGUGUUUCUUCCAGUUAUUUUUCUUCUCUUGUCACUUGGACAUUGCUGUUAGCUUAACACUCCUUGAAACUCAGUUUUACAACACUAGCAGGUUCUAAAGAUAUAUGCAUAUCUGCUCACCAGAUGGAAGGCAGGACUCUGUAACAGAUAGGAGACAAGUCUGGAUUAGAAUCCCAGCUCUGCUACCUGCUCUGUGUCCUUGGCUAAGACUCAGUUUUUCCCUCAAUUGUAUGCUGUCUCUUGUUGACAUGUAAAGAAGAUCUUUGCUUCCACUUCAGCUUCUGCCAUGAUUGCUUCCUGGGACCUCCUCAGCCCUGUGGAACUGUGAGUCAAUUGAACCUCUUUUCUUUAUAAAUUACCCAGUAGCAGGCAGUUUUUGAGAGCAGUGUGAAAACAGACUAAUACACCUCUUUGCUCACCCCAGAGUCUAUUAAUUGAAAGAAAGGUAGCACAAGUUAGGGACUGAUCCCAAACUGGUCUGUGCCUCAGAAUUAGUUGCAAGGUUUG
rnacentral:lncRNA from 1 species